rnacentral:lncRNA from 1 species
AUACCAUGACCAGGAUUUGUGCUUGUGUAAUUAUCGGAACUUCAGCGACCUCCGCGUUCCGUAAUAGUCUAUGAAUUUACAAAAACAAUACUAUAUCCUUCAAUCUGCAUGUGAUAAAACUCAAGCACUACUAUACCAAACUUCUAAUACACUAUUUAACUGCUACUUAUCCACUAGCUUCUAAACUUAAAUUCCUUUACGUGCUUCAGCUCUUCACAUAUCAAUAAAAACAUGAAGGAUUCAGGAGCAGACACUGCUCGAAAAGAAGAUCAUUUCGUGUCCCGGAUGUAUGUACCAAGACCUCCUGCAAUAUCCAGCUUGUAAUGUACACAAAGAAGGUAAAUUACCAUGUGAAAGUGUUAUACGAAAACUUAAUCUAUCUUAAUCUCUCCUUUAUAAGAGAACAUGCACAUGCUACACUAAUAAGCGACUACAGCAGUGUCUUAUUUGCUCCCAUUGUCUGUCUCAGGUUUGAGAAAUUGGACUGGAACAACAGGUAUGCUAUACCACCAUUCACCGAUUCGCCGCAUAAAUCGACGCGAAGAUGCAAUCCUCACGGGCAUUUCGCUUGAGAACACGUUUAGAAAGAUAAUUAGAAUCAACCAGCGAGUUGGAAAGA